rnacentral:rRNA from 1 species
AAUGAACGCUGGCGGCAGGCUUAACACAUGCAAGUCGAGCGGAGCGGCGGACGGGCGAGUAAUGAAUAGGCAUCUACCUGGUAGUCGGUGUUAACGUCCGGAAACGGGCGCUAAUACCGCAUAAUAUCAGAUGAGCCUAGGUCGGAUUAGCUAGUGGGUGGGGUAAGGGCCUACAAAGGCGACGAUCCGUAACUGGUCGGAGAGGUUGAUCAGUAACACUGGAACUGAGAUACGGCCCAGACUCCUACGGGAGGCAGCAGUGGGGAAUAUUGGACAAUGGGCGAAAGCCUGAUCCAGCCAUGCCGCGUGAGUGAAGAAGGUCUUCGGAUUGUAAAGCACUUUAAGUUGGGAGGCGUUACCAAAAGAAUAAGCACCGGCUAACUUCGUGCCAGCAGCCGCGGUAAUAC